rnacentral:rRNA from 1 species
UACGAAGGGUGCAAGCGUUACUCGGAAUUACUGGGCGUAAAGCGUGCGUAGGUGGUUUGUUAAGUCUGAUGUGAAAGCCCUGGGCUCAACCUGGGAACGGCAUUGGAAACUGGCUUACUAGAGUGCGGUAGAGGGGUGUGGAAUUCCCGGUGUAGCAGUGAAAUGCGUAGAUAUCGGGAAGAACACCAACGGCGAAGGCAGCUCGCUGGGACGGAACUGACGCUAAGGCGCGAAAGCGUGGGGAGCGAACAGG